rnacentral:misc_RNA from 1 species
GCAACACUCAAGUAAUCUCCAACCUGAAAGUUGAGAUCUUGUAAUGUCUUUGCAUCAUCCAAUCGCCGAUUAUUUCCAUACGAAAAUGCCAUGCCAACCGGCCUCACGACAUAACGACCACGCUUGUCAGGAUACACAAAUGCAAAUGACAGCUUCGCAUCUCUUUUCCUCGCUGCAAGAGCAACCUCUUUGACCAGGUCAGUUAGUUCUCGA